CUAAAGUUUGACUCUGGCUAUUUGUUCUCUUUUUGAUGAAUCGCGCAUGUAAACCUUAGUGUGACUACUCGUAGUACUUUUUCUUUAAAAGAAAGGUUGUUCGUAAAUAAAAUGUAGUAACAAUUUAAUAAUUCUCAGCGCUUAGUAUUAGAUAAUUAGUUAAAGCUAGAACUAGAAAAUCAUAUAAAAUCUGGCUAAAUUUGUGCCAGCCGCCGCGGUUACACUGUGAGGUUUAGUGAACAAGUUUUCGGUUAAAAAAGAUUAUUAAGUUAUUUAAGUAAGUAGGCCCAUCUAAUUAGGUAUGAGUGAAAAUAAUAACUAAAAAGUUGGUCCUGUUUAUUUAAAUAAAUAAGAAGUCUAUAAAUUUAAGGCCUAAACCAGGAUUAGAUACCCUGUUAUACUUAAAUUAAACAACUUAAACCGGGGUAGUACGAAGUUAUUAUCUUGAAACCCAAAGAGUUUGGCGGUAUCCCAGUCUAGUUAGAGGAGUUUGUUCAUUAAUCGAUAAUCCGCGAAAAAUCUUACGUGCUUUAGAAAUCAGUUUAUAUACCGUCGUUAUUAGAUAAUACUAAAAGGUGAAUAAUUGUCUAAAUAUAAUAGUUUAUAGUAUAUCAGAUCAAGGUGUAACUUAUAGGCGCGAGUUAGAAUGAGCUACAAUUUAUUAAUAUAAACAACGAAAAUUUAUCUAAAAAGAUUGAUUAGAAGGUGGAUUUAAUAGUAACUUUGGAUUUAAUAAGCCAAGGUGAUAUAAGCUCUGGGAUAUGUACACAUCGCCCGUCGCUCUCACUACAAAGUGAGAUAAGUCGUAACAUAGUAGAAGUACUGGAAAGUGCUUCUAGAAAG
rnacentral:ncRNA from 1 species